rnacentral:rRNA from 1 species
GAUGAACGCUGGCGGCGUGCCUAAUACAUGCAAGUCGAGCGAACGGACGAGAAGCUUGCUUCUCUGAUGUUAGCGGCGGACGGGUGAGUAACACGUGGAUAACCUACCUAUAAGACUGGGAUAACUUCGGGAAACCGGAGCUAAUACCGGAUAAUAUUUUGAACCGCAUGGUUCAAAAGUGAAAGACGGUCUUGCUGUCACUUAUAGAUGGAUCCGCGCUGCAUUAGCUAGUUGGUAAGGUAACGGCUUACCAAGGCAACGAUGCAUAGCCGACCUGAGAGGGUGAUCGGCCACACUGGAACUGAGACACGGUCCAGACUCCUACGGGAGGCAGCAGUAGGGAAUCUUCCGCAAUGGGCGAAAGCCUGACGGAGCAACGCCGCGUGAGUGAUGAAGGUCUUCGGAUCGUAAAACUCUGUUAUUAGGGAAGAACAUAUGUGUAAGUAACUGUGCACAUCUUGACGGUACCUAAUCAGAAAGCCACGGCUAACUACGUGCCAGCAGCCGCGGUAAUACGUAGGUGGCAAGCGUUAUCCGGAAUUAUUGGGCGUAAAGCGCGCGUGGGCGGUUUUUUAAGUCUGAUGUGAAAGCCCACGGCUCAACCGUGGAGGGUCAUUGGAAACUGGAAAACUUGAGUGCAGAAGAGGAAAGUGGAAUUCCAUGUGUAGCGGUGAAAUGCGCAGAGAUAUGGAGGAACACCAGUGGCGAAGGCGACUUUCUGGUCUGUAACUGACGCUGAUGUGCGAAAGCGUGGGGAUCAAACAGGAUUAGAUACCCUGGUAGUCCACGCCGUAAACGAUGAGUGCUAAGUGUUAGGGGGUUUCCGCCCCUUAGUGCUGCAGCUAACGCAUUAAGCACUCCGCCUGGGGAGUACGACCGCAAGGUUGAAACUCAAAGGAAUUGACGGGGACCCGCACAAGCGGUGGAGCAUGUGGUUUAAUUCGAAGCAACGCGAAGAACCUUACCAAAUCUUGACAUCCUUUGACAACUCUAGAGAUAGAGCCUUCCCCUUCGGGGGACAAAGUGACAGGUGGUGCAUGGUUGUCGUCAGCUCGUGUCGUGAGAUGUUGGGUUAAGUCCCGCAACGAGCGCAACCCUUAAGCUUAGUUGCCAUCAUUAAGUUGGGCACUCUAAGUUGACUGCCGGUGACAAACCGGAGGAAGGUGGGGAUGACGUCAAAUCAUCAUGCCCCUUAUGAUUUGGGCUACACACGUGCUACAAUGGACAAUACAAAGGGCAGCGAAACCGCGAGGUCAAGCAAAUCCCAUAAAGUUGUUCUCAGUUCGGAUUGUAGUCUGCAACUCGACUACAUGAAGCUGGAAUCGCUAGUAAUCGUAGAUCAGCAUGCUACGGUGAAUACGUUCCCGGGUCU